rnacentral:rRNA from 1 species
UCUGCCCUUCGGUUGGGAAUAACACAGAGAAAUUUGUGCUAAUACCUUAUAAUGUCUUCGGACCAAAGAUUUAUCGCCGAGGGAUGAGCCCGCGUAGGAUUAGGUAGUUGGUGGGGUAAUGGCCUACCAAGCCGACGAUCCUUAGCUGGUCUGAGAGGAUGAUCAGCCACACUGGGACUGAGACACGGCCCAGACUCCUACGGGAGGCAGCAGUGGGGAAUAUUGGACAAUGGGCGAAAGCCUGAUCCAGCAAUGCCGCGUGAGUGAUGAAGGCCUUAGGGUUGUA